AGCUUCCUCCCGGGAGAGAGCGGGUAUCAAGUCCCGCCGCCGAAGGCGCAACCGCCCCGGAAACGCUCAGGCAAAAGGGCCGGGAGAGAAGG
rnacentral:ncRNA from 2 species